rnacentral:snRNA from 1 species
ACAAUGGUACAUAAUAAAA